AGUGAACGCUGGCGGUAGGCCUAACACAUGCAGGUCGAACGGCAGCACAGUAAGAGCUUGCCCUUACGGGUGGCGAGUGGCGGACGGGUGAGGAAUACAUCGGAAUCUACUUUUUCGUGGGGGAUAACGUAGGGAAACUUACGCUAAUACCGCAUACGACCUACGGGUGAAAGCAGGGGAUCUUCGGACCUUGCGCGAUUGAAUUAGCCGAUGUCGGAUUAGCUAGUUGGCGGGGUAAAGGCCCACCAAGGCGACGAUCCGUAGCUGGUCUGAGAGGAUGAUCGGCCACACUGGAACUGAGACACGGUCCAGACUCCUACGGGAGGCAGCAGUGGGGAAUAUUGGACAAUGGGCGCAAGCCUGAUCCAGCCAUACCGCGUGGGUGAAGAAGGCCUUCGGGUUGUAAAGCCCUUUUGUUGGGAAAGAAAAGCAGCAGGUUAAUACCCCGCUGUUCUGACGGUACCCAAAGAAUAAGCACCGGCUAACUUCGUG
rnacentral:rRNA from 1 species